CCUACGGGUGGCAGCAGUGGGGAAUAUUGCACAAUGGGGGAAACCCUGAUGCAGCGACGCCGCGUGAGUGAAGAAGUAAUUCGUUGUGUAAAGCUCUAUCAGCAGGGAAGAAAAUGUGGGUACCUGAGUUAAAAGCCCCGGCUAACUACGUGCCGGCAGCCGCGGCAAUACGUAGGGGGCAAGCGUUAUCCGGAUUUACUGGGUGUAAAGGGGGCGUAGACGGUCGUGCAAGUCUGUAGUGAAAGGGACGGGCUCAACCCCCGGACUGCUCUGGAAACUGUACGGCUGGAGUGCAGGUGAGGUAAGUGGAAUUUCUAGUGUAGCGGUGAAAUGCGUAGAUAUUAGGAGGAACACCAGUGGCGAAGGCGGCUUACUGGACUGUAACUGACGUUGAGGCUCGAAAGCGUGGGGAGCAAACAGGAUUAGAUACCCCUGUAGUC
rnacentral:rRNA from 1 species